AGAGCUUUCCUGAAGGUACCAGUGAACCUGGGAUGGGGUGGGUGGGCGUAGAGACACCCACCAAGCUUGGCACAUUGUUGACACCCCUCAGGGCUGGCACCYUGUUGGGGAAUAGAUGUCUUCCCACCCUGUGUCCACCGCACUGACACACAUCCUCUCCCUGUCCCUGGCAGCGGUACCCGUACCUGAAUGCUCCCCUGCAGGUCGGCCUGGUGGGACUCUGUUUGGUGUUCGCCACCCCUUUGUGCUGCGCACUCUUCCCACAGAAAAGCUCAAUGCCUGUGAGGAGCCUGGAGCCUGAAGUCCAAGAUCAGAUCCGGAAGAAAGAUCCAUGGCUGGAAACAGUCUACUUCAACAAAGGGCUCUGAAUGGUUCCUGGGGUGGCCGAGAUGGGCCCCACGGGGCUGCCGGGCUAGCGCACUGCUGACCUUCACCCUUUGGAUCCCCUUGGGGCUGCUGCUGCUUUCCCUUGGCUGUUGCGUGUCCAUAGGUCCCAGGUGCUCAGCCCUGCUUCCCGGGGUGCCURCAGCCAUGCAGCACCACACCAAACCCGGUCCCCUUGCCCGGCUCAGCCCUGCUCUGGGGACCUCCUGGCUGGCACCCUGGUGCAGUCCUUUCUGAGUGUGCCUGUAGCUCUGUGCAGUGCACAGGGAAGUGCAGGCUGCAACACCAGGGACCUUGUGAGCUGUGGUGGAAGAAAAAAAAAGUGGGAUGAGGCAGAAAAGGUGCUCCCCAGCUUUAGGAGGCAGCAGAGAAUCAGCAAUUGAGGGUAGAAUACCUCUGCAGGCACCCUAUGGUGCCCAGUGGUUCAACAGCUGGUGUCUGGGGAUGGCAGAGCAGCUUUUGGAGAAGAAAACUCCCCAUAUCCAAAAUAGCUGGGGGUGAGUGAUCAAUUGCACGUAGUGGCUUGAACUCAGAKUGGAGGGCUCUCCCAGCCCAGGCGUGUGCUCCCAGCUCACCUUCUGCUCUCCUUCGGGCUGCUCUGGGGAUUUAAUCUGGCUUUCUGCUGCUUCCAUCCCCAGAGCAAAUGGCACAUUUUAAUCCCAGUAGAGUCUUGGUUUUUAUUCUCAUUUUAAUGCCAUCWGUGUUCAGGGCUGGGCUUCCCCCGAGGGGUUACUCUACCCCCUCCUGGAGUGCUUGCUUUCAGGUGGACCUUCUCAAAUAGCUUUAAGUGCACUGUGGUUUCCUUUAGAUAUUUUUGAUAUACAUAUAAUGUACCUAUAUAUACACCAAAUAAUAAAGGCAGAUUGUUUAUACAAAACCAACAGCAAA
rnacentral:lncRNA from 1 species